rfam:Stegodyphus mimosarum contig21516, whole genome shotgun sequence.
GCCUUCGUGGUGUAAUGGUCAGCACACUGAGCCGGUAUUUCAGAGGUCCGCGGUUCGAUCCCCGGCGAAGGCC